GUCCACGCCCUAAACGAUGAGAGCUAGGUGUUGGUCCCAUUUGGGAUCAGUGCCGAAGCAAACGCGUUAAGCUCUCCGCCUGGGGACUACGAACGCAAGUUUAAACUCAAAGGAAUAGACGGGGCCCGCACAAGCAGCGGAGCGUGUGGUUCAAUUCGAUGCAACACGAAGAACCUUACCUGGGUUUGACAUGCAUGUGGUACCGAAGGGAAACCGGAGGGACCCGCAAGGGAGCGUGCACAGGUGCUGCAUGGCUGUCGU
rnacentral:rRNA from 1 species